rnacentral:rRNA from 1 species
UUGCCCUAGUAACGGCGAGUGAAGCGGCAACAGCUCAAAUUUGAAAUCUGGCGUCUUUGGCGUCCGAGUUGUAAUUUGCAGAGGGCGCUUUGGCGUUGGCAGCGGUCCAAGUUCCUUGGAACAGGACGUCACAGAGGGUGAGAAUCCCGUACGUGGUCGCUGGCCUUCGCCGUGUAAAGCCCCUUCGACGAGUCGAGUUGUUUGGGAAUGCAGCUCUAAAUGGGAGGUAAAUUUCUUCUAAAGCUAAAUACUGGCCAGAGACCGAUAGCGCACAAGUAGAGUGAUCGAAAGAUGAAAAGCACUUUGGAAAGAGAGUCAAACAGCACGUGAAAUUGUUAAAAGGGAAGCGCUUGCAACCAGACUUGCCUGCAGUUGCUCAUCUGGACUUUUGUCCAGUGCAUUCUUCUGUAGGCAGGCCAGCAUCAGUUUGGGCGGUUAGAUAAAGGUCUCUGUCAUGUACCUCUCUUCGGGGAGAACUUAUAGGGGAGACGACAUGUAACCAGCCUGGACUGAGGUCCGCGCAUUUGCUAGGAUGCUGGCGUAAUGGUUGUAAGCGGCCCGUCUUGAAACACGGACCAAGGAGUCUAACAUCUAUGCGAGUGUUUGGGUGUCAAGCCCGAGCGCGCAAUGAAAGUGAACGGAGGUGGGAACCCGCAAGGGUGCACCAUCGACCGAUCCUGAUGUCUUCGGAUGGAUUUGAGUAAGAGCAUAGCUGUUGGGACCCGAAAGAUGGUGAACUAUGCUUGAAUAGGGUGAAGCCAGAGGAAACUCUGGUGGAGGCUCGCAGCGGUUCUGACGUGCAAAUC